AGUUCUCCGUGGGCUUCCGCCGCCGCCAAGCCGGAGUUCGCGGUGCCGCCGCGCUCUGUCGGUGCGCCCAGUUCGGCCGCCGCCAUGGGGAUCCUGGAGAAGAUCUCUGAGAUCGAGAAGGAGAUCGCUCGGACGCAGAAGAACAAGGCCACCGAGUAUCACCUGGGCCUGCUGAAAGCAAAACUUGCCAAGUACCGGGCCCAGCUGUUGGAACCGUCCAAAUCGGCCUCGUCCAAAGGGGAGGGCUUCGAUGUCAUGAAGUCGGGCGACGCCCGCGUGGCGCUGAUUGGAUUUCCCUCUGUGGGGAACUCUGAUGCAAGUGUUCGCAUCCAGAUCCUUCCUGGCUCACUUCUCGGUUCCUUGGCAGCACAUUCUUCCACAUCUGGCUCCGUCUCAGACUGUAAGGUCGAUACCUCCUUGCACAUCUCCUUACCCCUCCCUGGAAACCAGGUUCCUGUGUCCACCGAGACAGGCCUUGAGGCCUCCAAGGAACAGAGGGGCCUUCUGCUGCCUGAACCCCCCAGGCAUGGCCAGAGGCGCCUUUUCCAGCUAUUCUCUUCACACCCAUCCAAAUUACCAAGCCAAGUGGGGGAGACCUCUCUGCUGCCUGCACCGUCCACCUUCUUGAGUCUGAUGACCUCCACAGCCAGCGAAGCUGCGUCCUAUGAGUUCACAACCCUGACAUGUAUCCCUGGGGUCAUUGAAUACAAAGGAGCCAACAUCCAGCUCCUGGACCUUCCUGGAAUCAUUGAAGGCGCAGCACAAGGGAAAGGCCGUGGCCGGCAGGUGAUUGCUGUGGCACGCACAGCUGACGUUGUCAUCAUGAUGCUGGACGCCACCAAGGGAGAGGUGCAGAGGUCUCUGCUGGAGAAGGAGCUGGAGUCGGUUGGCAUCCGCCUCAACAAGCACAAGCCCAACAUCUACUUCAAGCCCAGGAAAGGUGGCGGCGUCUCCUUUAAUUCGACAGUCACGCUGACCCAGUGCUCGGAAAAGCUGGUGCAACUGAUCCUGCACGAAUACAAGAUCUUUAAUGCAGAAGUGCUCUUCCGAGAAGACUGCUCCCCAGAUGAGUUCAUCGAUGUCAUCGUGGGCAACCGCGUGUACAUGCCCUGCUUGUAUGUUUAUAACAAAAUCGACCAGAUCUCAAUGGAAGAAGUGGACCGCCUGGCCCGGAAACCCAACAGUGUGGUCAUCAGCUGUGGCAUGAAGCUGAACCUCGACUACUUGCUGGAGAUGCUUUGGGAGUACUUGGCCCUGACCUGCAUCUACACCAAGAAGAGAGGACAGAGGCCAGACUUCACGGACGCCAUCAUCCUCCGGAAAGGGGCCUCCGUGGAGCAUGUGGGUCCUCAGGGCCACGCCAUUGAGGUGUUCCGUCAAGGAGAGCUGCUGCUCUGGGCACUUCUGUAUUGUUACUCCCCCUUGUGCUUCCCCAGGGCUGGCCUAGGGCUCAGGUUGCCACCUUGUGUGUCCUUGGUCCCUGCUGGCUUCCUGUCCCCCCUUCAGCCCCCAGCAUGACCUGCCCCUCCCUACUCUCACAUCCUGCCCCCUAGCCUGGGAAUGGCUUUGAAUGCUUUCUGCACUCAACACGUUUAUUGAGCACCAACAGUAAACAAAAUAGCCCCAGUUCCUGCCAGAAUUGGGGUCCUUUGGGGUCAACAGAUGUGAAACUGCCAGUGCCAGAGCUAAGCACUCGCACGUAAGGUGAGUGCAGUGAAGGAAGGGGAUGGGGAGCAGCAAGGGGCGGCGCCAAAUCUACACAGAGAAGCCAGGCCUUGGAGGAGGGGACCUGACGGCGACGAGUGGGGGUGGGGGAGCCCCAGGCAGGGGAGCAGGUGGACGAAAGCCCUGAGGUGGAGGGGCUCUGCACAGGCUCAGCGAGGGAGGCUGCAUUUCUGUCUGGAGCUUUGUGACCCUGCGCCAUCUUUUAUGAAGAUCGUCGGGCCCUGCAGGAGCAGGUGAUGCCUGAGGACCUGGGCCCAUGUUCCAGGUCACACACUUGUCUUCUUGGGCUUUUGUUUUCCUCGUUUUGUUUUCCUCCAGCUCGUUUCUUCUCGGGGUCUGUGCUGUGGACACUGGUUGCUGGGGCUGCAGUUUGGCUCAUACAUUCAUUCAUUUGGCAAGGCCAGCCUGAGACCUCUGCCAGCCUAGAGGUGCUGGUACAAAUGGCAGGGCUUGGCCUUGAAGACUAGCAUGCUGGGCAGAAGCCAAGGAGACCCCUCCCAGAUCCCUUCAGUCGCUCACAAGGAGCUCCAUGUGGGAGUCCCUGUCCCUGGGCCUGUUUCAGAACCCAUGAUUGCAGUGUCUUCUACUGGGGCCCAGCAGACUGUUGACACUGGUGCCCAUGAGUACUGGCCCUCCCUGGGGUUACCCUGCACCUUCUGUGGCCACUUUCUUCAACCCUCUCAGGCCCUUGGCCACUUACCCAAGAAGAUGUGGGGCUUCAGCCACGCCCAGGAAGAAAAGCAGGAGAUUGCGGAAGAAGGGCCCUGCAGGCAGUGGGAAUGACAGGUGCUGAGGCCCAGAGGCAGGAGUGAGUGUGAGGACUGCUGGCUGUCUGCUGUCAGCUGGCACCAGGGUGCUGGACCCAAGGGUGAGGAGGGGCCGGCAGGAGGGGAGGAGCUUUGGAGGCCUUGCUCCAGAGUCUGGACUUUGUCCCAGAGAGGCCUGGUCUUCGGUGGUUCCUGCGUGCCCUCCCCCGCAGGUGCCUCCCUCCCAGGACAUCCAACUGUCCCAAGUGCUGCGGAGCAUCCGUAAAGGCUGACCUGAAUGCUGACACCAGGGACCCAAGUGCCACCGCAUCCACCGGUCGCUGGCCAGCCAGUUCAAGUACGCCCUGGUGUGGGGUACCAGCACCAAGUACAGCCCACAGCGGGUGGGCCUGACCCACACCAUGGAGCACGAGGAUGUCAUCCAGAUCGUCAAGAA